AAAGUUUUAAAGCUAACAAUAUUUGAUAGGAUGUAAAGGACAUAGUGGUUGUCUUGUGAACAUCAAUUAUAUACCUUUGCUGCUGUGAGCAACAGUAUGGCAAGGGUAGGUUUGGCCCUCACUCUGCCCCUAGAAUGCUCCCUGAGUGCUAAUUCUCAUCAAGGUAUAAAAUAAGUUCAACACUGGCAGCCAUCUGAUAACCACAGAGACAUGAGACUGAGAAUGAAACUAAUCUAAGGAGGAUACCGACGAAGCUGUAACCCUCCAGGUACAUAAACCAGUGUCCUGAGGGAGAAGCUGGUGCCCUUUAUCACACAGCUAACAACACUCCUAGCCAUGGGUCAGAGAAGUUGAAGGAAAAUACAGAGGAAGUUCUAACAGUGGCAGACCUAAUUACUGCACCAUGCCAAGCAGGUAAUCCAGCAGGAGUGGUGACAGUUUGAGACAAGGACAAGAGCACCAGACUUCAGAACUUGACAUCCACAAAAUAGACUGAUUUAAAGUGUUGGAGGAAUACAAACUGAAGAACUGUAGAGAGG
rnacentral:antisense_RNA from 1 species